rnacentral:rRNA from 1 species
UACAGAGGGCGCAAGCGUUGUUCGGAUUCACUGGGCGUAAAGGGCGCGUAGGCGGUCGGGUAAGUCUGAUGUGAAAUCUCACAGCUUAACUGUGAAACUGCAUUGGAUACUAUCCGGCUCGAGGAAUGGAGGGGAGACUGGAAUACUUGGUGUAGCAGUGAAAUGCGUAGAUAUCAAGUGGAACACCAGUGGCGAAGGCGAGUCUCUGGACAUUUCCUGACGCUGAGGCACGAAAGCCAGGGGAGCAAACGGG